GUCGAGCGGUAGAGAGAAGCUUGCUUCUCUUGAGAGCGGCGGACGGGUGAGUAAAGCCUAGGAAUCUGCCUGGUAGCGGGGGAUAACGUUCGGAAACGGACGCUAAUACCGCAUACGUCCUACGGGAGAAAGCAGGGGACCUUCGGGCCUUGCGCUAUCAGUUGAGCCUAGGUCGGAUUAGCUAGUUGGUGAGGUAAUGGCUCACCAAGGCGACGAUCCGUAACUGGUCUGAGAGGAUGAUCAGUCACACUGGAACUGAGACACGGUCCAGACUCCUACGGGAGGCAGCAGUGGGGAAUAUUGGACAAUGGGCGAAAGCCUGAUCCAGCCAUGCCGCGUGUGUGAAGAAGGUCUUCGGAUUGUAAAGCACUUUAAGUUGGGAGGAAGGGCAUUAACCUAAUACGUUAGUGUUUUGACGUUACCGACAGAAUAAGCACCGGCUAACUCUGUGCCAGCAGCCGCGGUAAUACAGAGGGUGCAAGCGUUAAUCGGAAUUACUGGGCGUAAAGCGCGCGUAGGUGGUUUGUUAAGUUGGAUGUGAAAUCCCCGGGCUCAACCUGGGAACUGCAUUCAAAACUGACUGACUAGAGUAUGGUAGAGGGUGGUGGAAUUUCCUGUGUAGCGGUGAAAUGCGUAGAUAUAGGAAGGAACACCAGUGGCGAAGGCGACCACCUGGACUAAUACUGACACUGAGGUGCGAAAGCGUGGGGAGCAAACAGGAUUAGAUACCCUGGUAGUCCACGCCGUAAACGAUGUCAACUAGCCGUUGGGAGCCUUGAGCUCUUAGUGGCGCAGCUAACGCAUUAAGUUGACCGCCUGGGGAGUACGGCCGCAAGGUUAAAACUCAAAUGAAUU
rnacentral:rRNA from 1 species